UACGAGGGGUGCAAACGUUAUUCGGAAUCAUUGGGCGUAAAGGGUGCGUAGGCGGCAUAUUAAGUCUGUUGUUAAAUUUCUCGGCCUAACCGGGAGCCAGCGACAGAUACUGGUAUGCUAGAGGACGGAAGAGAGAAGUGGAAUUCUCGGAGUAGCGGUAAAAUGCGUAGAUCUCGAGAGGAACACCGAUGGCGAAGGCAGCUUCUUGGUCCAGUCCUGACGCUGAGGCACGAAAGCGUGGGUAGCAAACAGG
rnacentral:rRNA from 1 species